rnacentral:lncRNA from 1 species
AGCGAAGGGGUGGGGUGGGAUCUUGGUCCAGCUGGUACUGGAGCGGCGACAAUUUUGGCUAGUCUAAGAAGGGCAUUCGAGUGACCGUUGACAACGGGUGGGACAGCGUCAGAGCUGGAGGGAGAGCCAGCACUGUAUGCUUCCAGGACUUCUUGCUAGGUGCAUUAGUUUUUAUUUUUAAGAGUUGGGUAAAAGACAUUAAUUAGUUAGCAUCUCACUCAUCGGCGAUUUUCUACGGUAUGAUUUCAUCCAAAGAGGAUUUCUUAAUCGCACUGUGUGACACCGUUAGGGGACUUAGAGUGUCACUCGCCGCCUUAAAUCCUUUCGGGAACAAGCCAGGAUAUAAAUAAAUAAAGCUAGGUGUGGGUCUUCCCUUCACAAGGCGCUGGUAGGCAGACUAAAGACAGGCAACAGCUGAGUGUGCACACAGAACUAAAUAUUGAACGAAAUACGAGUGUCGGAAUAAAAUUCAUUGCCAUGUGCACGGCUUAUGAUUAUACAGAUCUUGGACAUAUCACGGACCUGAACGUCAACCCUGCAACACCGGAUAAAACAUCUAAUGUAGCUGGAAUAGACUCUGAAAGGACGUUAGGCAUUAUCUAAAUCAAGUCCCUCAUUUUACAGAUGAGUAAACUGACUCAGUGAAGUAUUUUGCUCAAGGUCGUUCAUCAAAUUAGUAGUUUAAUUAACUCAGUGUUCUAGGAAGCAGGGUAGUAGAAAAGCAUGGGAUUCGGAGUCUGAAAUCUUCCUUGGUUUCUGGUCCUUGUAGGCUGUUUUACAAGUGUAUCUUGGGCAAAUCCCUUAACGUCUUGCCAUUUAUUAAGGGCUUACUUACCACGUGGCAAACAAUCCACUUUGCAUGCUGUGUCAAUUACAUGCAGUAUGUCGUGUAGUUAUUACUGUCCCCAUUUUAUGAGGUAGUUUAGGUUUAAAGAUAUUAGAAAUUUACCCAAAGUUACGCAGUUAUAAACAUUGUAGUAAUUUCAAACUCAGGUCUUCGUGACUGCAAAGGCUGCUGUCUUAAGUAUUGUAAUACAUUAGAGCUCCGGAUUCCCUCCCACUCAAAACAGAGACUGAGACUCCAACCAAUUUCCACCAUUAUUGGGAGUCAAACGAGAGAGACUGUGGCAAUGUAUUCUAAGCUGUACAAAGGUAUAAACAUAUUCACUAGAUUUGUAGAAUGAAGUUAUUCCUUCCCUAUACUUUCCACUACAACAAUUCAGCCAAAAAGAUGGCUUUCAUACUAAGCAUAAGAAGGAACUUCACUGUAAUUAUGAUAUUCUAACCAAGAAUAUAUGCAUAUCUAGGCAAUAACCAAAGUGAAUAGAAUAAAAUUUAAUUCCUGAUAGAUUAAAUAGGCAAUAGCAAGGAAUGCUAACGCUCCUCAUAGCGUUCUUGUUGGAAGAAUCAUCUAGGAGGCAUUGGGAUUUCUGGUGCUUUUUAAGCAAUGAGAGAUAUCAGUCCACUGAAUGAGGAAGAGAAUAACGUUUAGUUUCGGACUAAAAGUUCAUCUGGACUACGGAAAACACGUUUGCCUCAAUCAGUGAAGAAGGUAUGCUGAGAGCUGAAAGAAAAGGAAAGCAGCAACAGUGAGAGCUCAGAAAUUCCCAGACUGUUUUGAUGAUAAGGUCCAAGAACUUGCCAUGUGAUCCAUCACUACUAGACUCCCACAACUGCAUUAGAUUUGUUCAGGAUUUUCAUAUAAUUUUCAUAACUGGCUAAGUUCUGAAAUAACCCAUCUUGAAGACAUAAACAAUGUGCAUUGAUGGCUAGCCAGACUCUGUCCUGCCACAGUUCUCCUCCUACUCUUCAUUUCUUACCCCAAGGAGUAGUAAACAUGAAUCCUGACCCACCAAUGCAGUCCCAGAACUGAGAAAAGAUUCACUGCAGCUAAACACAUUGGAAAUGGAUGGGGAGAAGGCCUGAUGAAAAUUACUGAGGAAGCCUCUUAGCCUAUGUGCUCUGAGAGUAGUGACACCUAGCAGUCGUUAAGACCACUUAAAUUAUCCUAAGACAAUGGAUGUGAACAGGCACUUUUCAAAAGAAGACAUACAUGCAGCCAACAAUCAAAUGAAAAAAAGCUCUACAUUACUGAU